UAUUUACUCAUCCAUAUUCUGCAAAUUUUGAGAGGUGUCGAUUGCUGAUAAAACCAUUGUCCUGGUCACCAACAUGAGCACACAGUACGAGAAGAUGAUUGAGAUCGCAACACUCCACACGUGCAGUAUUCUGGGAGCAGACUGGGGCCUCAAGGAAGACGAUUUAGAAUGUAUCCAUGGUAUGGAAGGUCGGGAGGACCUCAAACAUUCUCCAAGAGCAGGCAGAAUACCAUCCGUGUCCGAUCUUCAA
rnacentral:lncRNA from 1 species